rnacentral:rRNA from 1 species
AGCAGCCGCGGUAAUUCCAGCUCCAAUAGCGUAUAUUAAAGUUGUUGCAGUUAAAAAGCUCGUAGUUGAAUUUCGGGAUCAACACGUCGGUCGUGCCUCCGGUAUGUACUGGUGUCGUUGAUUUCUCCUUUCUGAGGAACCACGAUGUCAUUAAUUUGGUGUGGUGGGAAAUCAGGACUGUUACUUUGAAAAAUUAGAAGUGUUUAAAGCAGGCACACGCUUGAAUACAUUAGCAUGGAAUAAUGAAAUAGGACGUUCGAACCUAUUUUGUUGGUUUCUAGGAUCAACGUAAUGACUAAUAGGGAUAGUUGGGGGCAUUAGUAUUCAAUUGUCAGAGGUGAAAUUCUUGGAUUUAUUGAAGACUAACUACUGCGAAAAGCAUUUGCCAAGGAUGUUUUCAUUAAUC